GACGGAGGGGGCAAGCGUUGUUCGGAUUUAUUGGGCGUAAAGGGCUCGUAGGCGGACUGGUAAGUCUGGCGUGAAAUCUCCACCACUCACGGGAGGGCCGUCGGAACUGUCAGUCUGGAGUAUGGUAGAGGACCAUGGAAUUCCAGGUGUAGCGGUGGAAUGCGUAGAGAUCUGGAAGAACACCGGUGGCGAAGGCGGUGGUCUGGGC
rnacentral:rRNA from 1 species